UCCUGUAUCGAAAGUGACUGUGGCAUGUCUGGUUGCCAGGUCAUUGAUACUACAGGAAGAGAAUGCUGAAAUCUUUCCCGUGUUUGCAGGAUUUGUUCCUGUCAAACCCUGUAUAUUUCAGACA
ensembl:snoRNA SNORA71 Small nucleolar RNA SNORA71